rnacentral:rRNA from 1 species
GACAGGGGUCUCGAGCGUUAAUCGGAGUCACUGGGCUUAAAGGGUGCGUAGGCGGGCCUGUAAGUGUCCUGUGAAAUCCCCCGGCUCAACCGGGGAACUGCGGGGCAUACUGCGGGUCUUGAGGAAGGUAGGCGCCGAGGGAACAGUAGGUGGAGCGGUGAAAUGCGUAGAUAUCUACUGGAACGCCGAUGGUGAAGACGCUCGGCUGGGCCUUUCCUGACGCUGAGGCACGAAAGCGUGGGGAGCAAACAGG